rnacentral:lncRNA from 1 species
UAAGUGACGGUGUCGCUUUAUUUAAUUGAAUUGGUGUGCUCAAACCGGUUUGUGCGAAAUGACAACAUGGUUAAUGUCAUUCGCAAAAUCAUAACGCGGUGAAGUAUCAUAUUGAUGUAUUGUAAUCUUUGGUGGUAUAACGACAUGAAAUUGUCGAAUCCAUUGAAUAGAAGGAAUCCAAAUUAUUCAAUGCAAUGAGAAAUAAAAAUCAACACGAACCCAAUAUUAUUUACAAAAAUAAAAAAAAUAAAAAAAAAGGUUAAAACAAAUGCAGGUCUUCCUCUCCCUACUUAUGAACAAACAAUUCUUAAUUCCCCAAUAACACAUCUUACAAACAAAUUGAGAGGGAAAAAAAGCAAACAAAUCCCAAUGUGAAUUAAAAUAAGAGGAGGAGGAGUGUGUUAAGUGACAAUCACCAUAUAAUCUAGCAAAUAUUGUUCAUACAAAUCGAAUUGCAGUACACCUUGUUAUUGCAUUACCAUAAGAAACUUAACAUGCUACAAGCUAAUUCACCAAGUAUUUUCUAACAAUAACAACUUCAGCUUAAAAUAAUAAUAAUAAUCAGCAUGACCAACAAGAUGAUCAACGGAUCCAAGUUCGUAAUUACAAUCAAAUAACAAUCAUCUAGUAAUUAUUUUGCAAAUUUGAAAAAAAAAGAAUUACAUUGAAACCAACGUGAUAAAACAACUAGCAAUAGGUUCCAGUAAAUUUAGAACUCAUCCACUUAAGUUGACAUGAAUAUAAGCUAUCAAAUGAAAUUAUUAAAAACAGCAUGCCAACUUUAGAAGUCAUCCACUUAUUUUAAGUGGAACAUAAGCCACCAAAUACUAUUAUUAAAACCAGAAUACCAACCGUGACCUUAAAAGAUAUCCAACAUAAUGUACUUAAUUAACUUCAACAUAAAUGAUUAAACACCACACAAAGUCGAAUAAGAAAAUACUGUGUAAUUGGAAUAACCACACACACAAACAUCCAGCAAUACAACAGAAUCAAACCGAAAUCAAUACCAGAGUAACAGUAAGUUCAAAAUUUACCGUCAUCGUAACAUUGUUGCCGAAGUUCGUUUGUAGCUUCUUCUUUUUUUCGAGCUUUCAACGGAUUGUAUUCCCUUUCCUUCAACACAUUCUCCUUCAAUGUAUUCGGUAUGUUCCAGUUGUGGGUUUAGAAGCCAUAGACAUCUUUGUCCAUACCUAACGGCACCGUCACAGAUCCGCUUUUGAGUAGUCACGUUGACAACGGAAGGGAUGCGUAUGGUUGUUUCACGGUUGAGGGGAAACGAGAGUAAGUUUAUGCCGGCGGUUAAGAUGAAGACAGCGAAAAUGAAAAAUAGAGGAAUUUUGGUGGUUGUGAUGGUGAGUGUUUGAUUGUGAGAAUCGUCGGCGAGACGGUUGAAGAGUUGUGGAGAUGCGGUGACGCGUCAGUUUCAUUUGUGUGGUUAAGGUUGUUUUCCGACAGUGGCUAUGGUAGUUGGAGGGUUUCUCGAUGAUGGAAGUUAUGGGUGGGUGUCCAACGUUUAGUUCGUCGGUGAUGGCGGAGGAGCUUUGGAGGUUAUUCGCGGUGGUCUGAGGCUCGCCGGAGCGAGUUGUUUUAAGGUGGCUAGGUUAAGGUUGUGUGAGAGUGGUUGGUUCUGUUGAAGAGAUGGAUGGGGUUUGGUUUGAAAGGUAUUGAAUGGUCAUGUUUUUUCUUUAGGUUGUUAUAUGGAGUAUGUUUUAUGGAGUAUGUUGUUGAAUGAGGAAAAGAGUUAUGGAUGGAUACAUGUUUUUUACAUGGUGGAAAAGAGGAAGCUUGAUGAAUAGCGGUUGUGUAGGUUGAGUUUCAAGAAAAUCAGCUUUUUCUUCAAAGUAGGUGGAAAGUUUUCUUUUCCCUUUUUUUUGAAAAAGGAGGUCGAGAAAGAGACUUCAUUUUUGUGAGAGUAGCCUCUUUGUUGUGAGUAGGGGUGGCAAUUGGAUCCAUUAAGAGAAAAUCCAUCCAAUCCAUCCAUCAAAAAAUUCAUCCAAUCCAUCCACUACAUAAAAAAUUAAGUUAAUGGAUUGAUCCAAUCCAUCCAUUUAUAAACAUGGAUUGAUCCAAUCCAUCCAACACAUUUUAAUGAUCCAAUGGAUUUUUUUAUCUAAUUUUAAAAAAAUAUUUUUCAAAUAUUAAAUUUUUUUAUAAAAAAUAAAAAAAAAUAAUUUUUUUAUUUGAAAAAAAAUCAAUUUUUUUUUCGAAAAUAAAUCAUUUUUUUUUAAAAUACAAAAAAUCGAUUUUUUCCAAAAAUUAAAAAUAAAAAAAAAUCUUAUUUUAAAUUAGAAAUUGAUAUUGUUUUUUACGAAUAUAAAAAAAAAUUUACGAAUAUAAAAAAAUUUUAAAUUAUUUUUUUCAAAAAUACAAAAAUAUAUAUUUUUUUGAAAAAAAAAUAAUUUUUCUCAAAAAAAAAAACUGAUAUUGUUUUAUUAAAAAAAGUAAAAAACUUUUUAAAAAAAAUAAAUUUCAAAGAAAAAUUUUAAAGGAAAAAAAAAUGGAUGGAUGGAUAUCCAUCCACUAAAAAUAUGAUAAUGGAUGGAUUGGAUGGAUUUUUAUUCUUAAUGGAUGGAUUGGAUUGGAUAUUUUUAAAAAACUUUUAGUGGAUUGUUAAUGGAUAAUGGAUUGUUUUGAUCCAUCCAUUAACGAUCCAAUCCAUAUCCAUCCAAUCCAUCCAUUUUACCACCCCUAGUUGUGAGUGUGAGUAUUGAGUGGAGAGAGAGCGAAGGGAAGCGUGAGAGAGUGAUGGAAAUCUGUGUGAGAGGAUUUUUUUUGUGGAUUGGAGAGAGCCUCAAGAUUUUCUCCAUUAUUUCUUCACUUCAUUUUAUUAUUAAUUAAUUCGACUUUUUAUAGAUGAAUAGCAACACACAUGGUGUGCCAAUAUUGAUCACUGAUUAAUUUGAAUCAUCCAUUCAGAGUAAAAUAAACCAAUCAAAAUUGCAAUGUUAUCUUUUUUAAAUGAUUUAAUUGGUUUAAAGGGGAUUAAAUUAAUCAAUUCAAAUAAAAAUUCACAAAUUCCUAAAUAAAUAUGAUAAAAGUGAAAUGAAACGUGGAAAUUCCUAUUUAUUCAACCCGAAUAUUUUGGCGAAAGAAUAAAAUUAAAAGGGCUAACAAUGAAUAAAAGUCAGGCAAAAAUUUGCUCAAAAAAUUAAAUCGGAUGUACUAAAAUGAUCAGCACAAAAUAUACUUAUUAAAAAAAUACAGUGUUUCUUCAAAUUCUGAAAUAAAUUUGCACCGGUAAAAAGGCUCAGGCGGGUUAAAACGCAGCUGAAACAGUCAUUGAAAAAUAUGACGAGCACACCAGGUUAAACUACGUGAACCGUAGAUUAAUAAUACUGGUGUCUGCAAUUUUAAUUUCGAAAUUUUUUAUCCGCUGAUUUUGUCCAUACUUGAGGAAAGAUUCACCUGAUUUGUCUGUAUUUUCAAUAAAUUUAUUAUGACUGAUAUUUUAGUUGUUAUAUAUGAUGCAAAUUAAAAAUGAAAUCGAUUUUACAAAAAUUUAAAUAUGCCCGGACAAAAUUGGGGUAUGACAGUUGCCCCUAUUUCAUUAUCUUGAACUAGAAGGUAAGAAUGACAACAAUCUUCAUAUAUUCGUAGUGGAAGGUAAUUAAAUACGAAAAGACCCAAAUUUUGUCCUUUGAAAUGUAAGGAAGAAAUACGGAAACAAAAUGCAGUGAGAAAUACAGUAAGAAAAAUUAUCAAAAAGGUAAAAUGAAACAGUCGAGACUCUCUGGGAAUCGUCAGAACAUUAUCUUGGAUGUCAUAAUCGAGAUAUUCCGAUAAUGGAAUGAUACCUCAACUGCAUCUAAGACUUUCUGGAAAAUCAGUAGAACAGUGUCUUGAGCUGAGCACAAGGGAUUUUUUGAGUAUCAAUGAAGCAGUAUCCCAUAUGAUAUAAUCGAGAUAUUUCAACAAGGGAGUGAUACCUCAACCGUAACUAAGAUUCUCCGAGGAUACUUAGAGGAAUACCUCUAAAAAUUAAAACCUGGAAUGAGACUCUUGAUAUUGAUGAAGCAGCAUCUUAAACAGCAAAAAUGAGAUUCUCUGUAUCGAGUCGAAGCAGCAUCUUAUCUGAUAGAAUUAAGAUAUUCCAGACCAAAGGAAUGAUGUCUUAAUUAAAUCUAAGACUCUUCGAGGAUACUAGAGCAAUAUCUCUAAAAAAAACUAGAAUGAGACUCUUCAUAUUGAUGAAACAGUAUUUCAAACAGUAAAAAUGAGAUUCUCUGUAUCGAGUUUAAGCAACAUCUUAUAUGAUAGAAUUAAGAUGUUCCAGCAAGGGAAAGAUACCUUAAUUGAAUCUAAGACUCUCCGGGGAUAUUAGAGUAGUAUCUCUAAAGAAACUAAAAUGAGACUCUUCAUAUUGAUGAAGCAGUAUCUCAAACAGUAAAAAUGAGAUUCUCUGUAUCGAGUCGAAGCAACAUCUUAUAUGAUAGAAUUAAGAUGUUCCAGUAAGGGAAAGAUACCUUAAUUGAAUCUAAGACUCUCCGAGGAUAUUAAAGCAGCAUCUCUAAAAAAAAUCUGGAAUGAGACUCUUCAUAUUGAUGAAGCAGCAUCUCAAACAGCAAAAAUGAGAUUCUCUAUAUCGAGUCGAAACAGCAUCUUAUCUGAUAGAAUUAAGAUAUUCCAGACCAAAGGAAUGACGUCUUAAUUGAAUCUAAGACUCUUCGAGGAUACUAGAGCAGUAUCUCUAAAAAAUCUGGAAUGAGACUCUUCAUAUUGAUGAAGCAGCAUCUCAAACAACAAAAAUGAGAUUCUCUGUAUUGAGUCGAAGCAGCAUCUUAUCUGAUAAAAUUAAGAUAUUCCAGACCAAAGGAAUGAUGUCUUAAUUGAAUCUAAGACUCUUCGAGGAUACUAGAUCAAUAUCUCUAAAAACAAAUGAGAUUCUUCAAAUUGAUGAAGCAGUAUCUCAAACAGAGAAAUGAGAUUCUUCAAAUAAAUGAAGCAGUAUCUCGAAUAUUCGUCUGUUGGGGGAAAUUUUUGGAAAAGACUCCUUUUGGAGGAAAUAUAUUGGCAAAGCUCUGCGUGGGGGAAAGCUCAUAAGAUACUUUUUAUGGUAACCUCUGCUUGGGGAGCAAUGCUAGCAAAGAAAAUGCUGGGAAUAUCAUUAUUAAUCAUAAAGUUAAAAAAUGAUUUGUUAAGAAAUAAUUCCACGAGCACAUACAGGAUAAUAACUUUAUAGAAUUUAGAUGGAGAGUGUCUAGGGUACAUAUGAAUGAACCUGGAUCUUGAUAUUUUGUUAUGUUUGAUUUUUGUAUGAUGUUCCACUUUGGGUGGAAAUACCAUGCAUGGGAGGAUGCAUGAGAUGCACGCAAUAUGCAAUGGCUGGGGAUAUUUAGGAUGUGCAUGUAAGAAUGCGAAUGAUUUUGUUCGUUUUUUGAUGAAAUUACCGUUUUAUGGGAGUGCUAUGCAUGGGGAUGCGGGUGAUUGAUAUGAUUGUGUUUGAUGAAAUUCCUAUUUGGUAGGAAAAUUAUGCAUGAAAUGAUACAUGUGGGAAUGCAACCGGAUAUUUGGAUAUUGUUUGUAGGAUUUUAUUUUUUCAAUGAGAUUAUUGGGGAAUGUCAUCAUCAAGGGAUUGAUGGAAGAUAGUGAAUGUCGAUAUCAAGGGGUUGAUGGACAGGUAAAUGUCAUCGUCAAAGGGUUGACGGAAAAGAUUUCCAUCAUCAGAGGGCUGAUGGGAAAGAAAUUGUCAUCAUCAAAGGGUUGACGGAAAGAAACUUCACUAUGGAGUGACAUCAACAAAGGAUUGGUGGAAAAGACUGUCAAUCAUCAGAGGGCUGAUGGAAAGGUGACUAUCAUCGUCAAAAGGUUGAUGGAAAGGUAAUUGUCAUCGUCAAAGGGUUGACAAAAUAUAAUUGAAUAUGUAGGGUCAUCGUCAAAGGGUUGACGGAAGAGAACUGUCAUCAUCAAAUGGCUGAUGGAAGAGGUAAAGAAAGACAUCACCAAAGGGUUGGUGGAAAAGGAAUUAUGUAUGUAAUAUCAUCGUCAAAGGGUUGACGGAAAGAAAUUGUCAUCAUUAGAGGGCUGAUGGAAAAGAGUUUGUCAUCGUCAAAGGGUUGACGGAAAGAAACUUCACUAGGGAGUGGCAUUAUCAAAUGGUUGAUGGAAAAGGACGACCAUCAUCAGAGGGAUGACGGAAAAGAGACCUCACUCUGGAGCGGCAUCACCAGAGGGUUGGUGGAAAAGGAAUUUUGUAAAAUAUCGUCAUCAGAGGGCUGAUGGAAAAGAUUGUCAUCGUCAAAGGGUUGACGGAAAUAAAAAUUCAGGUUAUGUCCUCAUCAAAGGGUUGAUGGAAAGGACUUAUUAUGUUAUGUAUGCAUAUGAUGCAUGUCAAUGGAAAUUUCUCGUCUCUGUGAGAGAGCAUUUUGCUAUGCGACUUCCUGAUUUGGCAGGAAAGUUAUGCGUUUUUAUUGUAUGCAGUGCACGUGGUAAUGCAAGAUGAAUAUUGGUUGUUUUUUGGAUUGAUCUCCCUUUUUUUUCGAAGGUGGGACUUUCUAGUUACCAAUGUUGAUUGGAUUUGAGUUUAUGAAGAUGCCAACAAAGUGGGCUUUUACUUUUGGUAGUUGCCAAUAUGGAUUAGACUUUUGAUUGGUGAAAGGCUUUGACUUCUCGACACUUUGUAUUUGAUAAUGUGAUGAUUGGGUGAUAGACAUGGAUGCUCUUGGUGCCCCAUGUAACAAUCCAAUUUUAGUAUUUAUUUAUUAUACUAUUAUUAUUAUAUUUUAUUUUAAUUAUGUGGAGUGUUAAUUAAUUAAUUGGUUGUUAGGUAGUAUAAUAAUUGAUUAUAUUAAUUAAUUUUGGUGUGUUAAAUUUUAUUUUAAUUAUGUGGAGUGUUAAUUAAUUAAUUGGUUGUUAGGUAGUAUAAUAAUUGAUUAUAUUAAUUAAUUUUGGUGUGUUAAUUAAUUAUUUAGUUGAUAUGAGAUAGAAUUAAAUAAUUAUAUUAAUUAACUUAGUGUGUAUGUGGGGUUAGUUUAAUUUAAUUGAACUAAUUAGAGAUAUUUAAAUAUUAGGUCUUAUUGGGCCUAUUAAUUAAAUUAGAAAUAUCACUCUUUAAGCCCAAAUAGAAUACUAGUAUAUAAGAGGGGAGGGGAGUAAGAAUUAGGAUUUAUUUGAUCAUUUGAAGGCAAUAGAGAAAGAGGAGAGGAAAAGUAAAGAGAAGAACUAGGGUUUCCAGAAAAUUGAAGAGGUAAGGGGAGAAUCCUUAUUAUUAUGGGUUAGUAUGAUUGGAUCAAUGGGUAGAUGUAUGUUAGGUUAAAAUUUCCCAAUUUUGUAUGGUUGUUUGAAAUUGUUAAGUGUGAUGAUUAUGCUUGAUUGUGGUGAUUGAUUGUGUUAAAACUGCAAAUUAACGUUAUAUAUUUGGAGUAUUGUGUGAGUUAUAAUUUUCUGAACGUUUGGAUUUUACGGAAUCGAAAUCGGAGGUCCGGAAGUCCUCCAACGAUGAAAACUGCAGAAAAUUCUGCAUGCUGUCCGUCACAAUCGCGGCCCUUUUUUAUGUUUUAUUGUCGAAAUCGUUUUGGUCAUAACUUUUGAUCCGUAAGUCCAAAUUGAGUACCAUUUGAAGCGUUAGAUAGCUGAGACAGAAGGCUAUAACUUUGUUUCAGGAAGAAAAUAAUUUUGGAGAUUAUUUCAUGGACGUUUUUGGGGUUGAAGAAGAUGAAAAUUAUGUUGGAAAAUUUAGAAAACAACAACUUUUUAGUAACGCCUUCGUGCACGGUUUUAUUCAUUACUUUCAACUCGUGAAUCAUCUUGGGUUGGGGUUUAAAGCAUUAGAAAGGUGACUCUAAUAGAUAUUAUAUGAAUGGUGUAUUUGUUAUGAAUGUGUAUAUAUACCAUUGGUGGAUUGUGAAUGAUAUAUUGUUAUGAAUGUGUAUAUGUACCAUUGGUGGAUUGUGAAUGAUAUAUUGUUAUGAAUGUAUUUAUGUACCAUUGGUGGAUUGUGAAUGAUAUAUUGUUAUGAAUGUGUUUAUGUGCCAUUGGUGGUAUUGUGAAUGAUAUAUUAUUUAUGAAUGUGUAUAUGUACAUUGGGUGGAUAAGUUCAUAGAGUUGAAUUAUGGUGAUAUGUGGAAUGUUAAGAUGGUAGAGAUGAUCUUAAUUGCAUAUGUAUUGGUAUUUGUACAUUCAUUCAUGGCAUGCAUGGUCAGCUUCAUGGUGGAAGCGGUGAAACUGUGGGUUCACAUGGUAAAUAGACGUUGAUCCUUAAUUGGAAAUAGGCGUAGCAGACGUUGAUCCUUAAUUGGAAACAGGCGUGGUAAAUAGACGUUGAUCCUUCAUUGGAAAUAGGCGUAGCGGACGUUGAUCCUUAAUUGGAAACAGACAUGGUAAAUAGACGUUGAUCCUUAAUUGGAAAUAGGCGUAGCAGACGUUGAUCCUUAAUUGGAAAUAGGCGUAGCAGACGUUGAUCCUUAAUUGGAAACAGGCGUGGUAAAUAGACGUUGAUCCUUAAUUGGAAAUAGGCGUAACAGACGUUGAUCCUUAAUUGGAAACAGACGUGGUAAAUAGACGUUGAUCCUUAAUUGGAAAUAGGCGUAGCAGACGUUGAUCCUUAAUUGGAAAUAGGCGUGGUAAAUAGACGUUGAUCCUUAAUUAGAAAUAGGCGUAGCAGACGUUGAUCCUUAAUUGAAAUAGACGUGGUGGCUUGGAUUCUAGAUAUUGAAAUGGCAAGUGGUGAAACGUUGGGUUCACAUUAUUGGUACCACAUGCAUAGAGCCACAUGUCAUGCAUUGAGUCACACUGGAGUUAAUGUGAUAAAUUGAAUGUUUGCAUUGAUGUGAUUAUGAUGUGUGUAUGAGAUAUGGUAAUUGAAUUUGAUGAUGUUUGGAGUUAUGUGUUAUUGAAGUUUGCAUUGAUGUGAUUGGAUGUGUGUAUGAGAUAUGGUAAUUGAAUUUGAUGAUGUUUGGAUACAUAACUUGACUGAAUAUGUGAUUAUGUGAUAAUUGUAGUUAUGUGUAUAUUUGAGAAUAUAAUAUUGGAUUUGAGUAUUAUACUCCUUGAGCUUUUAUGUGUGCUUGAAACAUGUGAAAUAAAUAUUGGUUAAUAUUAUUUACAUGGUUAUAUGAAGUGUGAUGAAUUCCUUUAAUUGUUGAUUUAAUCAUUGUGCUUGAUUAUACUUCUUCAUAAUGAUUUGAAUUCUCACCCUUUCUGUUUGAAUGUUAUCUUUACAUGGGUAUCGUGCAGAUACUCAGGAGUAGUAUUGCUGAAGUAAGUGAGCGGUAGCACUCGAGAUUAGCUGGAGAGCUUCGGUGCUUUAUUUUAGAGACUAAGUAGUGAGUCAAUGCUCUGGUCAUGUAACACUGGGUAGAUUGGUAGUAUUGAACUCGUGUCUUAUUUGGAUACGUUUUAUGGUAUUACUUGUGAACAUGUUUAAUUGAAGAGAUUAUUGAGAGAUGAUCAUGGUAUGGGNUGUAUUUUCAAUAAUUUAUUAUGACUGAUAUUUUAGUUGUUAUAUAGAUGCAAAUUAAAAAUAAAUCGAUUUUACAAAAAUUUAAAUAUGCCCGGACAAAAUUGGGGUAUGACAGUUGCCCCUAUUUCAUUAUCUUGAACUAGAAGGUAAGAUGACAACAAUCUUCAUAUAUUCGUAGUGGAAGGUAAUUAAAUACGAAAAGACCCAAAUUUUGUCCUUUUGAAAUGUAAGGAAGAAAUACGGAAACAAAAUGCAGUGAGAAAUACAGUAAGAAAAAUUAUCAAAAAGGUUAAAAUGAAACAGUCGAGACUCUCUGGGAAUCGUCAGAACAUUAUCUUGGAUGUCAUAAUCGGAUAUUCCGAUAAUGGAAUGAUACCCAACUGCAUCUAAGACUUUCUGGAAAAUCAGUAGAACAGUGUCUUGAGCGAGCACAAGGGAUUUUUGAGUAUCAAUGAAGCAGUAUCCCAUAUGAUAUAAUCGAGAUAUUUCAACAAGGAGUGAUACCGAACCGUAACUAAGAUUCUCCGAGAUACUUAGAGGAAUACCUCUAAAAUUAAAACCUGGAAUGAGACUCUUGAUAUUGAUGAAGCAGCAUCUUAAACAGCCAAAAUGAGAUUUCUCUGUAUCGAGUCGAAGCAGCAUCUUAUCUGAUAGAAUUAAGAUAUCCAGACCAAAGGAAUGAUGUCUUAAUUAAAUCUAAGACUCUUCGAGGAUACUAGAGCAAUAUCUCUAAAAAAAACUAGAAUGAGACUCUUCAAUAUGAUGAAACAGUAUUUCAAACAGUUAAAAAUGAGAUUCUCUGUAUCGAGUUUAAGCAACAUCUUAUAUGAUAGGAUUAAGAUGUUCCAGCAAGGGAAAAACCUUAAUUGAAUCUAAGACUCUCCGGGGAUAUUAGAGUAGUAUCUCUAAAGAAACUAAAAAUGAGGACUCUUCAUAUUGAUGAAGCAGUAUCUCAACCAGUAAAAAUGAGAUUCUCUGUAUCGAGUCGAAAGCAACAUCUUAUAUGAUAGAAUUAAGAGAUGUUCCAGUAAGGGAAAGAUACCUUAAUUGAAUCUAAGACUCUCCGAGAUAUUAAAGCAGCAUCUCUAAAAAAAAUCUGGAAUGAGACUCUUCAUAUUGAUGAAGCAGCAUCUCAACAGCAAAAUGAGAUCUCUAUAUCGAGUCGAAACAGCAUCUUAUCUGAUAGAAUUAAGAUAUUUCCAGACCAAAGGAAUGACGUCUUAAUUGAAUCUAAGACUCUUCGAGGAUACUAGAGCAGUAUCUCUAAAAAAUCUGGAAUGAGACUCUUCAAUUGAUGAAGCAGCAUCUCAAACAACAAAAAUGAGAUUCUCUGUAUUGAGGUCGAAGCAGCAUCUUAUUCUGAUAAAAUUAAGAUAUUCCAGACCAAAGGAAUGAGGUCUUAAUUGAAUCUAAGACUCUUCGAGGAUACUAGAUCAAUAUCUCUAAAAACAAAUGAGAUUCUUCAAAUUGAUGAAGCAGUAUCUCAAACAGAGAAAUGAGAUUCUUCAAAUAAAUGAAGCAGUAUCUCGAAUAUUCGUCUGUUGGGGGAAAUUUUGGAAAAGACUCCUUUGGAGGAAAUAUAUUGGCAAAGCUCUGCGUUGGGGGAAAGCUCAUAGAUACUUUUAUGGUAACCUCUGCUUGGGGAGCAAUGCUAGCAAGGAAAAUGCUGGGAAUAUCAUUAUUAAUCAUAAAGUUAAAAAAUGAUUUGUUAAGAAAUAAUCCACGAGCACAUACAGGUAAUAACUUUAUAGAAUUUAGAUGGAGAGUGUCUAGGGUACAUAUGGAAUGAACCUGGAUCUUGAUAUUUGUUAUGUUUGAUUUUGUAUGAUGUUCCACUUUGGGUGGAAAUACCAUGCAUGGCGAGGAUGCAUGAGAUGCACGCAAUAUGCCAUGGCUGGGGAUAUUUAGGAUGUGCAUGUAAGAAUGCGAAUGAUUUUGUUCGUUUUUUGAUGAAAUUACCGUUUUAUGGGAGUGCUAUGCAUGGGGAUGCGGUGUGAUUGAAUUGAUUGUGUUGAUGAAAUUCCUAUUUGGUAGGAAAAUUAUGCAUGAAAUGAUACAUGUGGGAAUGCACCGGAUAUUUGGAUAUUGUUUGUAGGAUUUUUAUUUUUUCAAUGAGAUUAUUGGGAAUGUCAUCAUCAAGGAUUGAUGGAAGAUAGUGAAUGUCGAUAUCAAGGGUUGAUGGACAGGUAAAUGUCAUCGUCAAAGGGUUGACGGAAAAGAUUUCCAUCAUCAGAGGGCUGAUGGGAAAGAAAUUGUCAUCAUCAAAAGGGUUGACGGAAAAAACUUCACUAUGGAGUUGAAUCAACAAAGGAUUGGUGGAAAAGACUGGUCAAUCAUCAGAGGGCUGAUGGAAAGGUGACUAUUUCGUCAAAAGGUUGAUGGAAAGGUAAUUGUCAUCGUCAAGGUUGACAAAAUAUAAAUGAAUAUGUAGGGUCAUCGUCAAAGGGUUGACGGAGAGAACUGUCAUCAUCAAAUGGCUGAUGGAAGAGGUAAAGAAGACAUCACCCAAAGGGUUGGUGGAAAAGGAAUUAUGUAUGUAAUAUCAUCGUCAAAGGGUUGACGGAAAGAAAUUGUCAUCAUUAAAGGGCUGAUGAAAAGAGUUUGUCACGUCAAAGGGUUGACGGAAAGAAACUUCACUAGGGAGUGGCAUUAUCAAAUGGUGAUGGAAAAGGCACGACCAUCAUCAGAGGGAUGACGGAAAAGGACCUCACUCUGGAGCGGCAUCACCAGAGGGUUGGUGGGAAAAGGAAUUUUGUAAAAUAUCGUCAUCAGAGGGCUGAUGGAAAAGAUUGUCAUCGUCAAAGGGGUGACGGAAAUAAAAAUUCAGGUUAUGUCCUCAUCAAAGGGUUGAUGGAAAGGACUUAUUAUGUUAUGUAUGCAUAUUGAUGCAUGUCAAUGGAAAAUUUCUCGUCUCUGUGAGAGAGCAUUUUGCUAUGCGACUUCCUGAUUUGGCAGGAAGUUAUGCGUUUUUUAUUGUAUGCAGUGCACGUGUAAUGCAAGAUGAAUAUUGGUUGUUUUUUUGGAUUGAUCUCCUUUUUUUCGAAGGUGGGACUUUCUAGUUACCAAUGUUGAUUGGAUUUGAGUUUAUGAAGAUGCCAACAAAGUGGCUUUUACUUUUGGUAGUUGCCAAUAUUGGUUAGACUUUUGAUUGGUGAAAGGCUUUGACUUCUCGACACUUUGUAUUUGAUAAUGUGAUGAUUGGGUGAUGACAUGGAUGCUCUUGGGUGCCCCAUGUAACAAUCCAAUUUUAGUAUUUAUUUAUAUACUAUUAUAUUAUUUUUAUUUUAAUUAUGUGGAGUGUUUAAUUAAUUAAUUGGUUGUUAGGUAGUAUUAAUAAUUGAUUAUAUUAAUUAAUUUGGUGUGUUAAUUAAUUAUUUAGUUGAUAUGAGAUAGAAUUAAAUAAUUAUAUUAAUUAACUUAGUGUGUAUGUGGGGUUAGUUUAAUUAAUUGAACUAAUUAGAGAUAUUUAAAUAUUAGGUCUUAUGGGCCUAUUAAUUAAAUUAGAAAUAUCACUCUUUAAGCCCAAAUAGAAUACUAGUAUAUAAGAGGGGGGGGAGUAAGAAUUAGGAUUAUUUGAUCAUUUGAAGGCAAUAGAAAAGAGGAGAGGGAAAGUAAAGAGAAGAACUAGGGUUUCCAGAAAUUGAAGAGGUAAGGGGAGAAUCCUUUAUUAUAUGGGUUAGUAUGAUUGGAUCAAUGGGUAGAUGUAUGUAGGUUAAAAUUUCCCAAUUUUGUAUGGUUGUUUGAAAUUGUUAAGUGGGAUGAUUAUGCUUGAUUGUGGUGAUUGAUUGUGUUAAAACUGCAAAUUAACGUUAUAUAUUUGGAGUAUUGUGUGAGUUAUAAUUUCUGAACGUUUGGAUUUUACGGAAUCGAAAAUCGGAGGUCCGGAAGUCCUCCAACGAUGAAAACUGCAGAAAUUCUGCCUGCUGUCCGUCACAAUCGCGGCCCUUUUUAUGUUUUAUUGUCGAAAUCGUUUUGGUCAUAACUUUUGAUCCGUAAGUCAAAUUGAGUACCAUUUGAAGCGUUAGAUAGUGAGACAGAACAUAUAACUUUGUUUCAGGAAGAAAAUAAUUUUGGAGAUAUUUCAUGGACGUUUUGGGUUGAAGAAGAUGAAAAUUAUGUUGGAAAAUUUAGAAAACAACACUUUUUAGUAACGCCUUCGUGCACGGUUUUAUUCAUUAAUUUCAACUCGUGAUCAUCUUGGGUUGGGGUUUAAAGCAUUAGAAAGGUGACUCUAAUCAGUAUUAUAUGAAUGGUGUAUUUGUUAGAAUGUGUAUAUAUACCAUUGGUGGAUUGUGAAUGAUAUAUUGUUAUGAAUGUGUAUAUGUACCAUUGGUGGAUUGUGAAUGAUAUAUUGUUAUGAAUGUAUUAUGUACCAUUGGUGGAUUGGGAAUGAUAUAUGUUAUGAAUGUGUAUAUGUACCAUUGGUGGAUUUGUGAAUGAUAUUAUUGUUAUGAAUGUGUAUAUGUACCAUUGGUGGAUUGUGAAUGAUAUAUUGUUAUGAAUGUGUUUAUGUGCCAUUGGUGGUAUUGUGAAUGAUAAUUAUUAUGAAUGUGUAUAUGUACCAUUGGUGGAUAAUUCAUAGAGUUGAAUUAUGGUGAUAUGUGGAAUGUUAAGUGGUAGAGAUGAUCUAAUUGCAUAUGUAUUGGUAUUUGUACAUUCAUUCAUGCAUGCAUGCAGUCAGCUUCAUGUGGAAGCGGUGAAACUGUGGGUUCACAUGGUAAAUAGACGUUGAUCCUUAAUUGGAAAUAGGCGUAGCAGACGUUGAUCCUUAAUUGAAACAGGCGUGGUAAAUAGACGGUGAUCCUUCAUUGGAAAUAGGCGUAGCGGACGUUGAUCCUUAAUUGGAAACAGACAUGGUAAAUAGACGUUGAUCCUAAUUGGAAAUAGCGUAGCAGACGUUGAUCCUUAAUUGAAAUAGGCGUAGCAGACGUUGAUCCUUAAUGGAAACACAGGCGUGGUAAAAGACGGUAUCCUUAAUUGGAAAUAGGCGUAACAGACGUUGAUCCUUAAUUGGAAACAGACGUGGUAAAUAGACGUUGAUCCUUAAUUGGAAAUAGGCGUAGCAGACGUUGAUCCUUAAUUGGAAAAGCGUGGUAAAUAGACGUUGAUCCUUAAUUAGAAAUAGGCGUAGCAGACGUUGAUCCUAAUUGAAAUAGACGUGGUGGCUUGGAUUCUAGAUAUUGAAAUGGCAAGUGGUGAAACGUUGGGUUCACAUUAUUGGUACCACAUGCAUAGAGCCACAUGUCAUGCAUUGAGUCACACUGGAGUAAUGUGAUAAUUGAAUGUUUGCAUUGAUGUGAUUAUGAUGUGUGUAUGAGAUAUGGUAAUUGAAUUUGAUGAUGUUUGGAGUUAUGUGUUAUUGAAGUUUGCAUUGAUGUGAUUGUGAUGUGUGUAUGAGAUAUGGUAAUUGAAUUUGAUGAUGUUUGGAUACAUAACUGACUGAAUAUGUGAUUAUGUGAUAAUUGUAGUUAUGUGUAUAUUUGAGAAUAUAAUAUUUGGAUUUGAGUAUUAUACUCCUGAGCUUUUAUGUGUGCUUGAAACAUGUGAAUAAAAUAUUGGAUAUUAUUUACAUGGUUAUAUGAAGUGUGAUGAAUUCCUUUAAUUGUUGAUUUAAUCAUUGUGCUUGAUUAUAACUUCUUCAUAAUGAUUUGAAUUCUCACCUUUCUGUUUGAAUGUAUCUUUACAUGGGUAUCGUGCAGAUACUCAGGAGUAGUAUUGCUGAAGUAAGUGAGCGGUAGCACUCGAGAUUAGCUGGAGAGCUUCGGUGCUUUAUUUUAGAGACUAAGUAGUGAGUCAAUGCUCUGGUCAUGUAACACUGGGUAGAUUGGUAGUAUGAACUCGUGUCUUAUUUGGAUACGUUUUAUGGUAUUACUUGUGACAUGUUUAAUUGAAGAGAUUAUUGAGAGAUGAUCAGUAUGGGACAUGGAUCAAUUCAUUUUAUGAAAUGCAUGGAUAUUCGUUAUUUUCCGCUGCGAACGCAUAUGCUUGAAUAUUCAUGAUAAUUGAAAUGUGUUAUUUUAAAUGACCAGGUGUAUUGUAUAUUGAUGAUGAAUGAUGUUUAGUUUUGAAAGCUUUUAGUUUUUGAAAACGUCGAUGUGACGCCCUUUUGUUUAUAUGCGUGCUUAUUUACUCUGAUUAUAUGUUAAGUAUUUUGGGGUAGAAAAAGGGGUGUUACACCCCAAGUUUGAUUAUUUGCUGAUAGACGUUGUGUUUGUUCUUGAGAGAACCUCAACUUCUUUGCCUGAUGUGCCUUGAUGGACUGCAAAUGAUUUAAUGAGCGUAGCGACAUAAUCAAUGCAUGGUGAUUGUGCUAUUGCUCUGCCCCAAGGCUCUUUGCAACUUAUCUGCCCCAGUCUGUAGGGUCUUUGAAGGAAUUCUCUUUUGAAAGGAAGCCAUGUGAAUGAUUAUACCAUGGCCUGAACCAAAUUUGCCCCUAGUGUAUGGGUCUUUCAGUAGUUUGCCCCCGGUUGAGCUUCUGAAAGGCAUUGCCCCAGAUUGACUGAGUAUUUUGAAAUUAUUUGCCUCCUUGAUCCACUGAUGCUUGGGUUUUGACUGACCAAUUCAUGGUCAUUGGAUACCAUUCCCCAAAUCCAUAGGGUUUAAGAAGCAGUCUUGAUUUGGGUCAGCAUUGACGAAUGAUCAAGUUCUUCUGAUUGUUCAUUAUUGUUGGAAUUUCUUUGAUGUCAAGUACUUACUUACAAUUUAAAAUUGUUUAUUUAAUCAAUGGUAAUUUUAAUGUAACGUUCAUGCAGGUUUGAAAAA